rnacentral:rRNA from 1 species
AAUUAACUAUUUAUUAACGACUUGUUAAAGUAUUAACGGCAUGAAAUGGGCAUAUGUCUGAUUAGCUAGUUGGUGUGAUAAAGGCUCACCAAGGCAAUGAUCAGUAGGGGACCUGAGAAGGUGUACCCCCACAUUGGUACUGAGACACGGACCAAACUUUUACGGGAGGCAGCAGUGAGGAAUAUUGGUCAAUGGAGGCAACUCUGAACCAGUUACGCCGCGUGCAGUAAGAAGGCCAGAAAGGUUGUAAACUGCUUUUGUAUAUGAAUAAAAAAUUCUACUUGUAGAAAGAAUUGAAGGUAAUAUACGAAUAAGUAUCGGCUAACUCUGUGCCAGCAGCCGCGGUAAGACAGAGGAUAUAAGCGUUAUCCGGAAUUAUUGGGUUUAAAGGGUGCGUAGGUUGUUUUUUAAGUCAGUAGUGAAAUCUGACAGCUUAACUGUCAAACUGCUACUGAUACUGUAAAACUAGAGUGGGGUAGGAGUAACUGGAAUGUGUGGUGUAGCGGUGAAAUGCAUAGAUAUCACACAGAACACCAAUAGCGAAAGCAGGUUACUAGAUCUCAACUGACACUGAGGCACGAAGGCAUGGGUAGCAAACAGGAUUAGAUACCCUGGUAGUCCACGCAGUAAACUAUGAUCACUAACUGUUGGAUAGAAAAUAGAAAGAAAAUAUUCAGUGGUUAAGCUAAAGUGAUAAGUGAUCCACCUGAGAAGUACGAUCGCAAGAUUGAAACUCAAAGGAAUUGACGGGGGCUUGCACAAUUGGUGGAGCAUGUGGUUUAAUUCGAUGAUACACGAAGAACCUUACCAAGGCUUAAAUGUACUACGAAUAAACUAGAAAUAGUUUAGUCUUGCGACGGACUACAAGGUGCUUCCAUGGUUGUCGUCAGCUCGUGCCCUUGAGGUGUAAA